GAUGAACGCUAGCUACAGGCUUAACACAUGCAAGUCGAACGAGGAUUUAAGGGAAUGAGAUUCGUCGAAUGAGCUUAAAUCCGAGUGGCGGACGGGUGAGUAACGCGUGGGUAACCUGCCUUACACAGGGGGACAACAGUUGGAAACGGCUGCUAAUACCGCAUAAAAUGGCAGUUUCGCAUGAAACAACCAUCAAAGAUUUAUCGGUGUAAGAUGGACCCGCGUCUGAUUAGCUGGUUGGUGAGGUAAAGGCUCACCAAGGCGACGAUCAGUAGCCGACCUGAGAGGGUGACCGGCCACAUUGGGACUGAGACACGGCCCAAAACUCCUACGGGAGGCAGCAGUGGGGAAUAUUGCACAAUGGGCGCAAGCCUGAUGCAGCGACGCCGCGUGAAGGAUGAAGUAUUUCGGUAUGUAAACUUCUAUCAGCAGGGAGAAAAUGACGGUACCUGACUAAGAAGCCCCGGNUAACUACGUAG
rnacentral:rRNA from 1 species